CCUGCCCUAGAACCUGGUGCCUGAGCGAAGUCUCCUGUGUGUGUUGCAUAUACCCUACUAUUGUGGUUGGGCCACAUUUGCCUUCAGUCCAGUUGGCUGCAGUGGCCCUCUUUGCCUGUUGUCAUCAGGGAUUGGUCCCUGUGCUGAUAAGGUACCAGUCUGGGGCCACUCUGGGCUUGAGUUAGGUCAGACCAGACACUUGUCUUCAGCCCACUUGCUGGAAAUGUGGUUGCACUGAACUACAGGGUUCUCUCCCUCUGUUGUCCCCAAGAGGCUUUCGAUGGUGGGCAAGGUCAGGGGUCAGAGCAGAUGUCUGUCCCCAGUCUUCUGUGGUGGUUGCAGUGACCCUGAACUACUGGGCUCUCUUUGUGCUGCCCCCUCACCCCGUGAGGUUUCUGUUGGUAGGUGGGGCAGAGAGUCAGAUGUGUGCCUGCAGCCUCUUGCUGGGGCUGCCAUUGAACUGUUGUGUGUGUGGUUAUCUCUUCCUCUCCCCAGGGCAAGAGUCACUUUGGAGUGGUGCUGACCCCUGCUGAGGCUGCCCUUGUGGAAUCACUUUGGAGGGAGGCCUGUGGAGUGAGGCAAGUUGGAUGGGACAGUCUUCAGGAGAGCUCAGGGGCAAGGCAUGCUGUUAGCAAAAGCGUGGUGGUGAGUGUUCCACCCUGGUUCCCACAGGUGUCUGUAUCUAGGCAGGGGAGGGCAAGGGAGAGAAGAGACACCAUCAGAUCUUUUGUUCUUGAAGUCUCCCAAAGAUCCCUGCCCCUUCACCACCAGUUCUGAGGUUAGCGAAUACCACUCCUUCCCCAUCGGCCCUGGGCUCUUCUCAAGCUGCUGCUUCUACGCUGUGUCUGGGUGGGGUUGUUUGUUACGCUGUUCUCUUUAAGGGUGGGGACUCCAUUUCCUAUUGCUCUCCAGCUCUGAGUUGAACCCACGGAUUGUUAAGGUUCCUGAUGUUAAGCCCCACUUAUUAAACACCCACAAAGUCAAGCCCCUCUGGUUUUUAAAGCUAAAUGAGGACUUGUCUUCCCAGGGAUAUCAAGGACACUCUUCAAUAGGAGUGAUGGCAGGUGCUUUUGUUUUGUUCCUGAUACAAAUGAAAACUCUCUUAUCUCCAACUAUACAAAAGAUUGACAUCUGGACUGGUGGAAAUUUGCAAAGGAUGUAAUGUGCAUUCCCCUUGAGAAUCAUUGCAAUCUGAGAGGGGGCGGCCCUGAAAACCAGCAGCCUGGCAACUACUCAAGAUAGCAGAAAGGAGCUGUUUGUUCAAAACAUAAUAGGAUAACCAAAAAUCUGGGAGAUUAAAAAUGAGGAAUAAUAUCUAUUGAUGCGCUCUGACCUAUUCUUAGGACUCCAAAAGGCGAUGCAGAUGCAUAAAGUUGUGUGCAAGGCCAACACCACGCUCAGGAAAGAGUUGAGAAGGUCCCGGACCUCACUUCUGGGUAACUUUGAGGCUCCACUCAAACAAAAGGUAAAGGCAAAAACAGUUGUAAACAGCCUGGCUGAAUGUUGAAGGCCUGCCCCAAUACACAUAUAAAGCACUUCUGCAAAGACUGAAGACAAUGGUUUUAGACAUCUAAGGAAAUUUGUGUCCAAUUAUUGGCUCACCACUAAGCUAAUCAGAGAACUCAGCCACACAGAUUAGAUUACAUAAUUCAGAAAAACCCAAGAUAUAUAGCAACAACAAACCUCGAAAGUGGGGAGAAUCUGCUUUCCAGAAUGGCUACAUUGUUAUUUAAAAUGCUUUUUUUUUUUUUCUGUAAAUGGACUAAAUGCUCCAAUCAAAAGAUGUAGGAUAAUGGAAUGGAUAAGCAAGACCCAUCUGUAAUUUCAGA